rnacentral:lncRNA from 1 species
UGGAGAACCCCAGCCCUAGCCAGGCUGGAGGAGGCACACGGUGCCUGCACGGGACCACCUGCAAAGCUGCCACCACUUCCAGCCACACAUUCACCACCCUGCAGGCUGCUGCCUGCUGAGCGCUUGCUUGUUUUCUUAGAAGCAAGAGCAGCACACGUGGAGCUACUGAGGGACGGGAAGUGGCUAACCAGCACCGAGGCAACUGCACAGGCCUCCUGCCUACAUCUUUUCCUUCAAGUUCAGCUGCAAAGCCAGGUUUUCUGGAGAUCAUGGUGGUUAUUGCUCCAGCAGUGGGUCCCAUACACUUUUUUCACAGGGUCUUCAGCAAGCCCCUUCCUCCAGGCUGGUGGCAUUCAGUUCCGGCUGCAAUGCCAGCUUGCAGAGGAGCAGAUCUCCUGGCGUGUCGGGGACCUGAACAGCCAGGAGAAUCUGCAGGAAGAAGGGAUGGGGUGCCUUUGGCUGGCUGGAGGCAUCCCCCCAGGCUUGUGGGGAGGCAGGACAAACGUGAGAAUGUCAGGGCUUCUGGCUGUGUUGGAGGCUGGGGGAGCUGGACAUGCUCCCUCAGCCUACCCAGGCUUGAUGUUCCUUGAGGAAGUUGCUCCCACCUGGAGGGAUCUCUGUGGAAGUAAGAAGAGUUACCAAAGUUCCCCUAAAAAAAUUCUAGGUUUCAUUUCCUUCAUCACACCCUGCUGACCAGGUCAGCUUGGAGAAAGGCAUACAAGGCGAGGUAUUCCUCCACCAAAACACCACAACAAGGAGCUGCUGCUCUCGCUGAGCUUAAAACACAGUAGGAGGAAGGGCUCAGUUUCUAACUGCAGAAAGAUUUAGAUCAGAACCUCAGUCGUCCCACCAAAAGUUCUCCUUCAUCCCCAUGUGACUGUGGCUUUUUGGUCCUCUCCAGACUGCUGAGCGCCGGCAGCUCCAGCUGGUGCGAUCCCCUCCAGCAGCCAGGACACUGGUGUGGUGCUGCCCGGGGCUGCGUGCGCGGGGCAUCUGUGGCACACUGCUUCAGAGAGGGACCACAUCCUUCUGCGGGAGGGAAGUCCCUGGCUGCCCAGACAGUCUGGCCGUGGUAAUGCAACAGCCUGUAUCUAUUUUGGGAGAUAAACUAAUGCUGGGGAUGCCGUCUGCUGCUGCCUUUUUUUCUCAACAAGCCCUCUCAUGUUUUUGGGGGGGACCUUUCCACAUUUAUGGGAAAGGGAGAAGCGGAGCCCUUGCAGGUCCUGACUUACAAGCCUAUUUUCCAG